rnacentral:rRNA from 1 species
UACGGAGGGUGCAAGCGUUAUCCGGAUUUACUGGGUUUAAAGGGUGCGUAGGCGGCGCGGUAAGUCGGGUGUGAAAUCUCGGAGCUUAACUCCGAAACUGCAUUCGAUACUGCCGUGCUUGAGGACUGGAGAGGAGACUGGAAUUUACGGUGUAGCGGUGAAAUGCGUAGAUAUCGUAACGAAGACCAGUGGCGAAGGCGGGUCUCUGGACAGUUCCUGACGCUGAGGCACGAAGGCCAGGGGAGCAAACGGG